AUUUCACAGCUCUUAAACACACGAGAGGACUGAAACACAUGCAGUACAACACCAACAGAACAAGAAUACAGAUUGAUUUAAUUGGGCCAAACGUGUGUGGAACAAGAUGCUGCUCUGGCUGGAUUGUUCAUCCCAAGACUAAGAAAUGCACAAAAUCAAAGUGUUCUUCUCGUUGUUAUAACAGAUCUGGGUGCAGAAAGCGAAGCACAUGUCUGUGCCAUUUAGGUUUCCGGCAUUGUAAAGAGAACCAAACCAUCUCUUCAUCUGAAAUUACACCC